rnacentral:lncRNA from 1 species
AAAAUAGUGAAGUCGUUUAACAAAACUUUAAAAGACUGUGUGAAUCAAAAAAGUAUAGGUAAUUUCAAAGAUAUUAAUAACUAGUCCCACUCAUCGUCGUCUUCAUCCUCUUCGUCUGAAAGAAUUAGUAAACUUAAGAACUUUUGAAAAAAAAUACGAGAAAUCCGGACAUACCACUCUGAGCGACUUUGGUUUUACGUUGGUUCAAAGCGCUUGCCAAUGCAUCCAUAAGAUUGUUAGAAGGGGGUGCUUCUACCGGAGGAUUCGAAGUUUUUGUAGAUGCGACACUAGGAGAAGCAGAUACUUUCUGGAAAAUAUUAGUACGAGUAACCAUUAAGUAAUAAUAUCAAUACUUACCCUGCUUUUCAGUAAAUCCAUACCACCGCUGGCUCUGAUACUGGCCAUUAAAUUAGCACGGCCGUCUUGUUGAGGCAAUUCAGCUAUCGAAGCAACAGGCGCGGCGGGCGCAGGAGCUGGAGCUGGAGGAGGAGCUGGUGCAGCGGGAGGCAAUGGUGGAGCAGCUGGCAUACCAGCGGGUAGAGGAGGAGCAAUUGGUGCACUAGGUGGUAGGGGGGGAGCAGCUGGUGCGCCCAUAGGUAGAGAAGGUGGUGCACUGGGGGGCAAAGAUGGAGGUGCACUAGGAGGAAGAGAAGGAGGUGUAGGGACAGGAGGUGUGCUUGUUCGUGAUGCAUUACCAAGAGGGGGAAGUGCAGGCGCAGAACGACCAGGAAUAGCUGGAGGAGGGGCUGGUGGGUUUGAAACUGCACGAGAUGAAGAUAAAGGGGGUGGUUGUCUCCCAGUGGAAGGAGCAGACCUUGGAGGAGGUGGAGGAGGAGCAGAUCUACCUUGAGGCGGCAAAGGAAUUGAGCCAGCAGCAUUAGAUCUAGGAGGUGGUGGAGGUGGAGGAAGAGACGAGUUAGAAGAACCAUUACCAAUCGGUGGUUUACCACGAUUACGACGGGAUGGAGGCGGAGGCGGAGGAGGUCGUUUUUUGUUAGCAGCUAGAGCUGCCGCACUGACUCUUGAAGAUGGUGGAGGGAGUGGAGGUUUCGAGGUGGAAUUAAUAGCAGGAUUCAUCGAAACAGGAGCGAUAGGACGGGGAGGGGAGUUAGGAGGAGAAGAGACAGUUCCAUUAGAUGGAGGUGGAAUUGGGGGAGGAGCAGGUGCAGACAAAGAAGGAACACGCUCUGGGGGACGAGAGGAAGGAAUGCUUGGAGGGAUGGGAGGUGCAGAAGUACUGGUAGGUGUACCAGCUGAUUCAUUAAGGUACGCUUUGACGAAAUCUGCGUUUUCAGCAAUUUGAUCCUGGGAAAUGCCCAUCUUCAUUAGAGAAUCAAUUAAGCUCGGAUCAAGCGAAUUUAAAAGCUCGGGCUCAUUGGGACUUUUAGAUCCAACAGCAUUAUAAUUUUCCUUUCCAGGUACAGGAGGAGCAGCUGAGGGAGGUUGGAUAUUGCUGUUGUUAGGCGCAUGUCUAGAAGAACCUUUUCUGGUAAUAAAUGACAAAACCGGAUUCUCAAUUGAUUCAGGAUGGCAACCUUUAUCUAAAACCUUUUUGUAAAAUUUUUGAGCGUCUGUCUCGUUUGCAAAACUAAAACCUGCUAGGCAUUUAUCAAGCUCGAAAGAAUGAAAAAAUGUACGAUCUUGGCGAUAGUCCAUAUUUUGAUAAAGCUCUUGGUCCCAUAUUAUACCACUAUUAUUCUAAAACGUUAGAAGGUUAUAAUUCAAUUAAAUUGUAUACCACUCUUUGUAGUUUGCUUUGAGUAUCAAAGCUUCAUACACAUACCACAACGUCAACCAGUUUAAACCAACAGCAUUUUGCUGUUGUAUCAUAGGACAAUACAAGAGCACCACAAAGACCUGUAUAAUUCCAUUUGUUCGGAUCAGGAUAAGCUACAUAUAGCUUGACGACGGCUGCUGCAAUGAUUUUAUUUGUGCUUUUAGGUAUGUAUUUACGGAUAGUUGCCUUAUCCUCUUGAGUUAUAGAGGAAGAUGGAGGCAUUUGAAUUUUCGGAUUGUAAUGCAAUUCAAAAAUUGCUGUCUCACAGUGGUAUAAGUGGUGUUUUGGUUCCUCCCGUUUGUUAGCAUUUUCACUGUAGUUAACAAGCCAAUGAGUGAUAAUUAGUGUAGUAUACUAUACUACGCUAUGUACUAUAAAAAUUUGCAACGCACUUAUUAGCAGCUGGUAAAUUUUGCUAAUUAUAUUAACUGUUUAUAGAUUAAUAAAACUUGAGACAUUAAUUCGGGUUUAAUAUUUUUUACAUUCUACAUACUUAUCGUCCUCAUUGUAAAGAGGUAAAUAAAAUUUAUU